AUAGCUCAGUCGGCAGAGCGUCUCCAUGGUAAGGAGAAGGUCAACGGUUCGAUUCCGUUUUG
rnacentral:tRNA from 1 species